UACGUAGGAGACGAGCGUUGUCCGGAGUUACUGGGCGUAAAGGGUGCGCAGGCGGCCUUGCGCGUCGCGAGUGAAAUCUCCCGGCUCAACUGGGAGGGUGGUCGCGAGACGGCAGGGCUUGAGGCUCGGUGAGGGGCGUGGAAUCCGGGUGGAGCGGUGAAAUGCGUAGAGAUCCGGAGGAACACCGACGGCGUAGGCAGCGCCCUAGACGAGACCUGACGCUCAGGCACGAAAGCGCGGGGAGCGAAACAGG
rnacentral:rRNA from 1 species